CUAAAGUGCUGGUGUCCCUUGUAAGUGUGCAGGUGGGAGUGGGUGUGGCUAAAUGCUGGUGUCCCUUGUAAGUGUGCAGGUGGGAUGGGUGUGGCUAAAUGCUGGUGUCCCUUGUAAGUGUGCAGGUGGGAGUGGGUGUGGCUAAAGUGCUGGUGUCCCUUGUAAGUGUGCAGGUGGGAGUGGGUGUGGCUAAAGUGCUGGUGUCCCUUGUAAGUGUGCAGGUGGGAGUGGGUGUGGCUAAAUGCUGGUGUCCCUUGUAAGUGUGCAGGUGGGAGUGGGUGUGGCUAAAGUGCUGGUGUCCCUUGUAAGUGUGCAGGUGGGAGUGGGAGUGGCUAAAUGCUGUUGUCC
rnacentral:lncRNA from 1 species